CGAGUUACUACAGACUUCCUAUCAGAUCAGGCCAGUCUGAUCAUUAUCCUCUGAUCUCUCUCAUCAACCAGGGGUUUCAGACUGCAGACCCUCUGCUCACAGGAUGUUUUUUUGUUUUUCACCCCAUUCUGUGUAAACUCUAGAGACUGUUGCGUGUGUGAAAAUCCCAGGGGAUCCGCAGUUUCUGAAACACUCACACAAGCCCAUCUGGAGCCAAUAACCAUGCCAUGGUUAAAGUCAGAGAUCACAUUUUUACCCCAUUCUGAUGUUUGAUGUGAAUAUUAGCUGAAGCUCUUGACCUGUAUCUGAGUGAUUUUGUGCAUUGUGCUGCUGCCACAUGAUUGGCUGAUUGGAUCAUUGCAUAAAUGAGCAAGUGUUCCUAUUAAAGUGGACGGAGAGUGUAUAUGCAGAUUUUCUCAAUACCUUUAAUGUCGUGUUUAAUAGAACAUAAUUAGACACUACACUAGUCUAGCGUGUGUGUGUGUGUGUGUGUGUGUGUGUGUGUGUGGGGACGCAGGGAGUUUCCAGCGUGGAUAUUAAAGAACAAUCACAGAUUCAUAAAUUGAAUGUGGGAAUGACAUGGAAAGUUAUCACCAAAUGUAUGAUUUGACAGCAAAAAAAAAAAAAAAAAGGGGGGAUAGAAACUCAUUAUGAGGAAAUAUCAGGCAAAUAUAAACACAAUAACAAUGACAAGUACAAAGCUGAAGCCUGUGUGUGGGCAAAACCCGCUGUUUCAUAUAAACACACGAAAGGUGAAUUCCACAUUCCCUACAAAAUGCCUCCCUAAUUUCCUUAUAAUGUGGUUCUUUUUCAUGUUUUUAUUAUUUGACUCGACGGGACUUUCUAAACCACAUCACAUACUGAAAUUGCGUGUAAACAGUAAGCUGAUAAAACGCCUUACCUGGAGCAACUUUUGUGUAUAAAGCGUCGAGCUGCUGAGAGAGCAGUCCUACUUGUUGAAUAUCGGAGGUUAAAGUUGUUGAAUAAGCUACACCAGCUGAACAGACUAACUCCACAUUCCAGUGUUUUUGAGUUUAAUCAUAAGUGUAAAUGCGACACAGAGACUUCAAAGUGAGUCACAACUCCCCUGGUGUUGAUGGAGAUUCUUCCCUGUUUGAGGCACUGAGUGAAGCCUAGCUGCCUGAGGGAUGGAAAGCGAGCUGGGACAAACUUCAGCCGUAUCACUGCAACAGGCGCCAUGCAACACAAACACAAAC
ensembl:lncRNA